rnacentral:lncRNA from 1 species
GUUUUGUCGUCGAGUGUCUGGAACUCAAAUCGGACACUCGACUAGGCGAACACCGCUGAAACUUCCACAAGCCCGGUCCGUUCGGUUCCUAACUACCGAAUGGCCCCUCGUUCGGUAGAUAGAAACAACCGAACGAGGGGAUUCAGGCAAACCCUCCCUAGCCUCUGUAGCUAGAGGUUUUUGUGCCAUUUUUUCCCUGACUCCAGGACCUACCGCAGGGCCCA